GUAGAAAUUGUUAUUUUUUUUGCCCAAGUCGUUUUCAUUUUACAAAGAAAAAAAAACAAAUUCAUUUUCUCUAUCAUCGUCUUCAUUGUUUAUUUGAAUCAAUAUAUAUAUAUAUAUAUCCAUUCUGAUCGAAGAAACACAUAUGGAUUGGUCUUGUUCAAAUUCGAACUCAGGAACCCUAAUCUGUCAAGCCGCUGGACUCUUCUUCUUCGUCAUACCCAAACUCCCCCAUACACGGCGAAUUGGCUCCUUCACCUUCCUCCGCUGCUUUUCACCACCAUCACAUUUGCCGCUUCUUCUUCAUAUUCCCUUUGUUUUAUCAAUCUCAAUCGCACAUAAGUCAAAACUCUAGAGGUCAUCGACCUAUAUCCUUGGACAAGGUAUGGCUCAGCGUGAAGACGUUUAUGACCUAGAUAGCCACUAGAUUCCAGGUUUUCUUCUACUCCAAAGCUCCAGUUUCAAUUGGGUCUAUAAAAAUCUCCCUUUUUUGUUGUUCAUUUUUCACGAGUUUCUUUUGUUCGAUUUUGCUGACAAAACCCCCUUGCUUUUGUUCAAUCGAUUUCGGCAUUACUGUUUAUGUUCAUUUCUAUUAAAAAUCUCUCCUUUCUGCUGUUUCCUCUUGACAAAACUCCACCUUGAUUUUGUUCACUUACUUUUGUAUUUGUUUACGGUAUGACCAGAACUGGAUUGUUUAUGUUGGAUUAGCAGAAAAAAGUUUGGCUUUUUGGUGUGUGAUUCUGAUUGUUUCUCUUUUAUUGAUUUAUGCAACUAGGAACUUAGUUCUUAUAUGAAUUUUCUGUGAAAAGUUUUACUAUUUUAAUGAUGCCUCAAAGAGUUGUACCAGUUCAGGGAUGGACCCCUACCCCUUAAGUUGUGUCAUAAGGGUCGGCUCGGCUCAGUUUCUCCUUCAGGUACCGGAACUGAUCACAACAACUACAGAAACUUGCAGCAAAACGAGUCAGGCUAAUCUGUCCUCUUGGCGGGAUCUAUGCAUUGUUCUUCCUUGAAGGUUUGAAAGUAGGUUGAAGUUUGUUUGUUAUGAAUAUAUAAGUUUAAAGUUUGAGUCUUGGUUGCUUAUUAAUCCCUCUAAGUAGUCUCCAAAGUCAUAACUCGUGUACAUAUUCUAGCUUAUGUGACAUUAUCAGCUGAGAGUUGAGGCUUAGCUGUAAAAAUGCUAUUACAUAACUCGUGUACAUAUUCUAUUUUGUCUCAGGUUAUGAUGAAUUAGACAUUGCUCUGUUUCUCUCUGUGAGGUUCUGAGAACUAUUGUUUAGUGAAACAGUCUUAUUCAAAGACGCCUUGUUACAAGUAUCGUUUACCCUUUUUGCAGGUCAUCACACGAGAAGAUGAGAACGGAAACGUCAAACUUGAGUGUCCCGCCAUUUGUAAACAACAGUUUGCAGCUGGGAGAUUUCACAUUGACUCACGGAUGACAGCUACUAAAGAUGCUGAUCGCAUUGCUAGGCUUGAUGUUAUUCGUAUUAUCUAUCAAUGAGCCUACUGCUACUUCUGUGGUUUAUGCUUUUGAAAGGAAAAGCAAUUAAAUAAUUCUUGUCUUUGAUCUUGGUGGUGGUACCUUUGAUGUCUCUGGUACUCAAUUGCAAUGUAUCUCAAAUGGUGACAAAAAGAAAAAGAAAAAAUAUCUAAUUUGGGGUAUAUGAUUAAAUUGCAAUGUAUAAAUGAUAAUUAAACUUUUAGAUUAAAUUUAAUAUUUGAAAUUAAAUAACGAACAAUAGAGUUUUAAGAUUCUUAGUUAGCUUUGGGUAUGAUUAAUUUGGGGUUUAAACCCUUACCCUAAACAUAAACAUUAAAAUUUCAAUAUUUUCAUAAUAUAAUUUCAAUCUUAAAUUUAAAUUUAAAAUUUAAUAAUUUUAAAAAUAGAAUCCCAAAUUUAAAUUCUAAACCUCAAACAUUAAAUCUUAAAUCUAUACCCUAAAUAUAAUACCCUAAAUCCCAAACUUAAAUCUUACAUACAAAGUCGUAAAUCUAUUUUUUAAUUUAUAAUAUAAACUUUAAACUUAUAUUCCAAAUAUAUUCUAAAACUCAAAUCAUAUACUUAAUUAUAAAUCUUAACCCUAAACCCUAAACCCUAAACCACAUACUUCAUAUUAACCUACAUCAUAAAUCCUAAUUUAAAAUUUUCAAAAAUUUAAAUUGUACUCUAAAUUCUAACAUAUACACUAUAACUGUGAACUCUAAAUACAAAAUCUAAAUUUUAAAUUUAAUCAAACACAUACACUAUAAAUGCCAAACACCAAACCCUACAUCAAACCCUAUUCUUCAAAUUUAUACUCAAACUCUUAAUCAUUUUAUAAUAAUUCUUAAUUCUUUUUAAAGAAAAUCAUAAUUAUAUAUCAUAAUUGAUAUUUCUGCAAUUACUACUUGUAAUUACUGAAAUUAAACAUCACUUAAUCUUCAAACAUUAGUCUUUGUAAACAUAUAAAAUGAUAUGUCAAACUUAAUAAGAUUAAAUAAAAUAAAAUAAAAAAGAAAGAAUUGUGUGGUAUAAUCUCUAUCUCACCUCCUUUUACGUUAUUCUUCUUUUUUUAAUAGCAAUCCUAGUGAUUCUUUUCUAUUGGCUAAUACAAGAAAGUGGGGAUAGCUUCAUUUUUAACCUUAACCGUUGAUGAAUUUAAUCUAAGGGACAUAAAUAUUUGCUUCUUUUUUUAAUGAUUUUCUCUCUUUCUCGAUCUCUGUUUUUUUUUUUUUGAUCAACAAUCUUUGCUCCUCUCCUCUUCUACCGUCGUAAACCUGAAAAAAAAAUGAAAGCUCCAUCUUUUCUUCUUCUCUGGAAUAAACCCUAAGAAAACCCAGAAAAAUUCUCCAUCUUUUACGAAGGACUCCACUUCUCACCUCGUUGGCAGCUCAAACGAAAUCUCUCCUUUAUUUCUGAAUUCGUACAUGAGAUUUUACGGUGGAGACAGAAGAUUUGGCAGAGGAGAAGGAGGCGCCACCACCUCCAUCUGUUGAUUCUAUCCUUAGAUCUGUUGAUGAAAUUCAUUUUGUAUGUGUUUACAUACUGCUUUGUUUUUUUAGAAUGCGGAGGACAUGAGAUUUUAUGGAGGAGACAGAAGAUUUGGCAGAGGAAAAGGAGGCGCGACAAGCAGAUCGAACGGUGGCUCCAACACCCUAUUGAAUCCUUUCUUCAGCCAUAGCAUCCAGAGCCAGUUGAGGCGUCGGUGUAGAAGAAGUGGUAUGUGACUGAAAGAUGGUGACGCUGAAGCGCUGUGGCGACCGAGACGAAGGCGCAGCUGAUAUGUGGGGCUUAGGUUUAGGUUUUGUUAGUUAGGUUUUGGUUAAUUAGGUUUGGUUUAAUGUGUUUUAAUUAGUUUUGGUUUGAUGUGUUCUGGUGUAUUUAUUUUUUUAAUUCUGGUUUAGUGUUACAUUUUUUUGUAAUUUAAUUUUAAUUAAUAAAUAAAAUUUUAUUUUUAA